rnacentral:rRNA from 1 species
AUUGUUGCAGUUAAAACGCUCGUAGUUGAAUUUCAAAGAAUCGAUAUUUUAAGUAACGCUUCUAGCUAAAAAUCCACAUAACUGAUGCCUCCGCGUAUCGACUUUGUGCGCAUUUUAGCUAUUAUGUGUUCUUUUAAUUAAAAUGAUUCUUUUUAAGAUUCAUCUAUUAAAAAUUUGCUUCUGCAUAAUUUUUUUUGAUGAUCUUGUUACUUUGAGUAAAUUAGAGUGUUCAAAGCAAACAGAUAUAGCAUUUGUGCGUUUGAAUACUACAGCAUGGAAUAACAAAAUUGAACAAGUCAGAAUUUUUUUGUUCUUUUUUCUUAUUUUGGCUUAGUUACGAUUAAUAGGAGUAGCUUGGGGGCAUUUGUAUUCAGAUGUCAGAGGUGAAAUUCUUAGAUUUUCUGGAGACAAACAACUGCGAAAGCAUUUGCCUAAAAUACUUCCAUUAAUCAAGAACGAAAGUUAAGGGAGUGAAGACGAUCAGAUACCGUCGUAAUCUUAACCAUAAACUAUGCCGACUAGGCUUUGGAUGAAAGAUUUUAAAAUAAGAGUUUUUCUUUUCUCUCCGGAGAUUAGAACUCUUAGAUUGCUUCCUUCAGUGCCUUAUGAGAAAUCAAAGUCUUUGGGUUCUGGGGCGAGUAUUCGCGCAAGCGAGAAAGUUAAAAGAAUUGACGGA